UACAGAGGUCUCAAGCGUUGUUCGGAUUCAUUGGGCGUAAAGAGCGUGUAGGCGGCCAGGUAGGUGGGUUGUGAAAACUGGAGGCUCAACCUUCAGACGUCGACCCAAACCCCCUGGCUAGAGUCCGGAAGAGGAGAGUGGAAUUCCUGGUGUAGCGGUGAAAUGCGUAGAUAUGCGGAGGAACACCGAUGGCGAAGGCAAUCCCCUGGACCUGUACUGACGCUCAUGCACGAAAGCGUGGGGAGCAAACAGG
rnacentral:rRNA from 1 species